rnacentral:misc_RNA from 1 species
AUGGAGCUACGCGUUGGUAACAAAUACCGGCUUGGGCGGAAAAUCGGGAGUGGAUCCUUCGGCGACAUUUAUCUAGGUACUAAUAUUUCUACGGGUGAGGAGGUCGCUAUCAAGCUAGAAUGCAUAAAGACUCGACAUCCACAAUUGCAUAUAGAAUCCAAGUUUUACAAGAUGAUGCAAGGAGGUGUUGGAAUACCUACCAUAAAAUGGUGUGGUUCGGAAGGUGACUAUAAUGUAAUGGUAAUGGAAUUACUUGGACCAUCACUAGAAGACCUAUUUAAUUUUUGUUCGAGACGUUUUUCAUUGAAAACGGUUCUGCUCCUUGCCGAUCAAUUGAUAAGUAGAACAGAUUACAUUCACAGCCGCAACUUCAUUCAUCGUGAUAUUAAGCCGGACAACUUUCUGAUGGGCCUUGGGAAAAAGGGGAACCUCGUCUACAUCAUAGAUUUUGGAUUGGCUAAAAAGUAUCGUGAUGGGCGCACACACAAACAUAUACCUUAUCGAGAAAACAAGAAUCUUACAGGAACAGCCAGAUACGCGAGUAUAAACACACACUUGGGGAUUGAACAAUCACGGCGGGACGAUCUCGAAUCUCUUGGCUAUGUCCUCAUGUACUUCAAUAGGGGUAGUCUGCCUUGGCAAGGAUUGAAAGCAGCAACAAAGAGACAAAAAUACGAGCGUAUUUCCGAGAAGAAAAUGUCGACACCUGUAGAAGAACUUUGCAAGGGUUAUCCCGUAGAGUUCGCGUCGUAUCUAAGGUAUUGUCGAGAUCUGCGCUUCGAGGAGAGGCCAGAUUAUUCGCAUCUUCGUCAACUCUUCCGGACAUUGUUUCAUGGCCAAGGCUUCACCUAUGAUUAUGUCUUCGACUGGAACAUGCUGAAGUUUGGUAACGCGAGACAACCAACGUUACCCUCGGCGCAACAAGCGCCCAUGCAUUCACAGCCGUCUAACGCGGCGCUGCCUUCUGGGACCAACAACGAUCAGGAACAUCGAUCAAGGCCGUACACACGACAGUGUUUGCCGAACGCGUCUGUAGCGGCGGUGGGGCCGACGCUUGGGCCAAACGCGAGUCUGCGGGCGAUCCGGCAGAAACGCGAAAUGGAGACUCGUGGCGACCAGGACAAUCAGGACAAGAGUGAUCUCCAAGCAUCGGGUGCGGGUGGCCAAGAACGAAGGGUCAGCAUGCGGUUGCACCGUAGAGACGCGCUUCUAGCUGCUGCAGGGGAAAUGCAACCCAAAUCCAAGUGAGUUGCUACAUGAUAUAGAACGACUGAAUCUUCUAAACGACUGGGUAUAACUUGCUCUAUUGUGAAACGCGAGGAAUGCGGUAACCGAAAGCUAUCGCAUUAAUUCUAAAUGACAAAAGUAGACAAAGAGGGGGCGAAAUUAUCUCCUGUGCCACGGUAGAAGACGCCGAUCGUGAAAACUCUGAUCACGGGAAAAAAACUUUCAUCGUGCGAGCCUUCUCUCCGAGUACAUCUCUCCUCACGAGUAUAUCAAAAUAUUGUCAUCGUAUUUUUUAUUUCAAGAGAAUCUUCCAGUAUUACUUCGAAAGCUAUUUUCUAUCAGUUUUUCUAGCUGAAAACGAUAUACAGCAACGCUUGUACACUUCGAUUUAAAUUGAUACUGUUCAUCAAAUGUUAAACAGAAUCACAACAAGACAUGCCGUUAAUGUCGAGAGGGAGGACAACAAACGCGAUUUUAAUGAAAUAUUUGCAUUCAAGAAAUGCUAUUACAUUUUUAGUAACAAAAUAUGUUUUGUCAUGAAAAGUGAUCAUCAAUUUCCUUAGAUCUGAUCGCUGCUUAAUUUCGUAUUUAAAAAUCGGAGAUAAAAAAAGAGGGCGAAGAUAAAGCCGUAGGGAUUGAGAAUGUAAUGAACGAGAGAAGGAGCGCCGAGAAAGAAAAAAAA